GCCCAGCCAGUAUGGUGGUAUGACUCUCGGCUUGCAACCGAGUGGGUUCGGGUUCGAAUCCCGAGUAGGGCA
rnacentral:tRNA from 1 species